AAACUCGUAUUAAUACCGCAUACGACCUACGGGAGAAAGGGGGCAGUUUACUGCUCUCGCUAUUAGAUGAGCCUAAGUCGGAUUAGCUAGAUGGUGGGGUAAAGGCCUACCAUGGCGACGAUCUGUAGCUGGUCUGAGAGGAUGAUCAGCCACACCGGGACUGAGACACGGCCCGGACUCCUACGGGAGGCAGCAGUGGGGAAUAUUGGACAAUGGGGGAAACCCUGAUCCAGCCAUGCCGCGUGUGUGAAGAAGGCCUUUUGGUUGUAAAGCACUUUAAGCAGUGAAGAAGACUCCGUGGUUAAUACCCACGGACGAUGACAUUAGCUGCAGAAUAAGCACCGGCUAACUCUGUGCCAGCAGCCGCGGUAAUACAGAGGGUGCAAGCGUUAAUCGGAAUUACUGGGCGUAAAGGGAGCGUAGGUGGCUCUAUAAGUCAGAUGUGAAAUCCCCGGGCUCAACCUGGGAACUGCAUCUGAAACUGUAGAGCUAGAGUAUGUGAGAGGAAGGUAGAAUUCCAGGUGUAGCGGUGAAAUGCGUAGAGAUCUGGAGGAAUACCGAUGGCGAAGGCAGCCUUCUGGCAUAAUACUGACACUGAGGCUCGAAAGCGUGGGUAGCAAACAGGAUUAGAUACCCUGGUAGUCCACGCCGUAAACGAUGUCUACUAGUCGUUGGGUCCCUUGAGGACUUAGUGACGCAGCUAACGCAAUAAGUAGACCGCCUGGCGAGUACGGCCGCAAGGUUAAAACUCAAAUGAAUUGACGGGGGCCCGCACAA
rnacentral:rRNA from 1 species